rnacentral:rRNA from 1 species
ACGGAAGGCAGCAGUGGGGAAUAUUGCACAAUGGGGGAAACCCUGAUGCAGCAACGCCGCGUGAGUGAUGAAGUAUUUCGGUAUGUAAAGCUCUAUCAGCAGGGAAGAAAUUGACGGUACCUGACUAAGAAGCCCCGGCUAACUACGUGCCAGCAGCCGCGGUAAUACGUAGGGGGCAAGCGUUAUCCGGAUUUACUGGGUGUAAAGGGAGCGUAGACGGCAAGGCAAGUCAGAAGUGAAAGCACAGGGCUCAACCCUGUAACUGCUUUUGAAACUGUUUAGCUAGAGUGUCGGAGAGGUAAGUGGAAUUCCUAGUGUAGCGGUGAAAUGCGUAGAUAUUAGGAGGAACACCAGAGGCGAAGGCGGCUUACUGGACGAUUACUGACGUUGAGGCUCGAAAGCGUGGGGAGCAAACAGGAUUAGAUACCCUGGUA